GUAGCGGCGAGCGAACAGGGAAGAGCCCAGCACCGAAUCCCGCGGUCGUAACCGGCCGCCGGGAAAUGUGGUGUUAGGGAGGGUCUUAGUCCCGUUGUCGCGCGGCGCGUCCAAGUCCACCUUGAACGGGGCCACUUACCCAUAGAGGGUGCCAGGCCCGUAGCGACCGCCGCCGGCGACGGGGGGAUCUCUCCUCAGAGUCGGGUUGCUUGAGAGUGCAGCCCUAAGUGGGUGGUAAACUCCAUCUAAGGCUAAAUAUAACCACGAGACCGAUAGCGAACAAGUACCGUGAGGGAAAGUUGAAAAGAACUUUGAAGAGAGAGUUCAACAGUACGUGAAACCGUUCAGGGGUAAACCUGAGAAACUCGAAAGUUCGAAUGGGGAGAUUCAGCGCGUCUCGAGGGGCGCGAGUGGCGUCGGGUUCGACGGCAGGCGUCCGCGUCGGCCGAGUCCCGCGUCGCCGCAGCUCGGCGAACGUGUGCACUUCUCCCCUAGUAGAAAGUCGUGACCCGUUGGGCGUCGGUCUACGGCCCGCGGUGGAGCCCGCGCGGUGUGCCUCGCGGCACGACCGCGCGGACCCGCGGUGUCCCGGCCGGCCCGCUCGACGGCGCAGACAGUGGUGCGGGGCCGCGAUUCAUUUCGCGUCCGGCACGCGGCAAGCGCGGUCGGUUCAAUCCGUCUGUCGGACCUAGCGCCGACACCGGACCCGAUCGGCUGCUGGCCGCGUCGCUCUCGGACAGACCCCGGUCGUUCACCGGUCUACGAAGCUUUUGCAUUGGGUACUCUCAGGACCCGUCUUGAAACACGGACCAAGGAGUCUAGCAUGUGCGCGAGUCAUUGGGACUAGCGAAACCUAAAGGCGAAAUGAAAGCGAAGGCCGCCCGCGAGGGCGCGCCGAGGGAGGAUGCGGACCGCCCAGGCGGUCCGCCGCACUCCCGGGGCGUCUCGUGCUCAUCGCGAGCUGAGGCGCACCCAGAGCGUACACGC
rnacentral:rRNA from 1 species